UGCCCGGUGGUGUAACGGUAGCACAACUGCCUCUGGAGCAGUUUGCCUAGGUUCGAAUCCUAGCUGGGCAACCA
rnacentral:tRNA from 1 species